AGAGUUUGAUCCUGGCUCAGGAUGAACGCUAGCGGCAGGCCUAAUACAUGCAAGUCGAACGGUGAUAGCAAUAUCAUAGUGGCGCACGGGUGCGUAACACGUAUGCAACCUACCUUAUACUGAGGGAUAGCCUUUCGAAAGGGAGAUUAAUACCUCAUAACACAUUGAACUGGCAUCAGUUUAUUGUUAAAGAUCUAUUGAUAUAAGAUGGGCAUGCGUCCAAUUAGUUAGUUGGCGAGGUAACGGCUCACCAAGACGAUGAUUGGUAGGGGAACUGAGAGGUUAAUCCCCCACACUGGCACUGAGAUACGGGCCAGACUCCUACGGGAGGCAGCAGUAGGGAAUAUUGGGCAAUGGAGGCAACUCUGACCCAGCCAUGCCGCGUGCAGGAAGAAGGCGUUAUGCGUUGUAAACUGCUUUUAUAUAGGAAGAAAUAGACCUUGCGAGGUAAGUUGACGGUACUAUAUGAAUAAGCACCGACUAACUCCGUGCCAGCAGCCGCGGUAAUACGGAGGGUGCAAGCGUUGUCCGGAUUUAUUGGGUUUAAAGGGUGCGUAGGCGGUUUAUUAAGUCAGUGGUGAAAGACGGUCGCUCAACGAUUGCAGUGCCAUUGAUACUGGUAG
rnacentral:rRNA from 1 species